UACGAAGGGGGCUAGCGUUGCUCGGAAUCACUGGGCGUAAAGCGCACGUAGGCGGAUUGCUAAGUCAGGGGUGAAAUCCUGGAGCUCAACUCCAGAACUGCCCUUGAUACUGGCGGUCUCGAGUCCGGGAGAGGUGAGUGGAACUGCGAGUGUAGAGGUGAAAUUCGUAGAUAUUCGGAAGAACACCAGUGGCGAAGGCGGCUCACUGGACCGGUAUUGACGCUGAGGUGCGAAAGCGUGGGGAGCAAACAGG
rnacentral:rRNA from 1 species